AUUGAACGCUGGCGGCAUGCCUUACACAUGCAAGUCGAACGGCAGCACGGGAGCAAUCUUGGUGGCGAGUGGCGAACGGGUGAGUAAUAUAUCGGAACGUGCCCAGUCGUGGGGGAUAACGUAGCGAAAGUUACGCUAAUACCGCAUACGAUCUACGGAUGAAAGCGGGGGAUCGCAAGACCUCGCGCGAACGGAGCGGCCGAUAUCAGAUUAGGUAGCUGGAGGGGUAAAGGACCACCAAGCCGACGAUCUGUAGCUGGUCUGAGAGGACGAGCAGACACACUGGGACUGAGACACGGCCCAGACUCCUACGGGAGGCAGCAGUGGGGAAUUUUGGACAAUGGGCGAAAGCCUGAUCCAGCAAUGCCGCGUGCAGGAUGAAGGACUUCGGGUUGUAAACUGCUUUUGUACGGAACGAAACGGCGUGCUCUAAUACAGUUUGGUAAUGACGGUACCGUAAGAAUAAGCACCGGCUAACUACGUGCCAGCCGCCGCCGUAA
rnacentral:rRNA from 1 species